rnacentral:rRNA from 1 species
UUUGCCUACGGGACGCAGCAGUGAGGAAUAUUGGUCAAUGGACGCAAGUCUGAACCAGCCAAGUAGCGUGCAGGAUGACGGCCCUCCGGGUUGUAAACUGCUUUUAGUUGGGAAUAAAAGGGGGCUCGUGAGCCCCGUAUUGUAUGUACCAUCAGAAAAAGGACCGGCUAAUUCCGUGCCAGCAGCCGCGGUAAUACGGAAGGUCCGGGCGUUAUCCGGAUUUAUUGGGUUUAAAGGGUGCGCAGGCGGGAGAUCAAGUCAGCGGUAAAAUGUCGGGGCUCAACCCCGGCCGGCCGUUGAAACUG